rnacentral:lncRNA from 1 species
GAAAAGGCAUCUUUGAGGAAGGAACAUUUAACUCAAAAUUCGAGGGAUGAUGAUAAUUGAGCUUUGUACAGAACUGCAGGAAAAGAAUAAAUACCAGGGAGAGGAGUGGCGUGUGCAAAGGCCCUGAAGUGGGCAGUGUGGUGCUUGAAUAUGCAGGAGCUGCAAAGAAGCGGGUGUGUUCAGAGUUCAGAGCAGAGCAAGCAAACGGCGUGUUAGGAGAUGAGGUCAGGGAGAAGGCAGGGACCAGACUGUAGAGAACUCUGAAGAUCAAGGUGUAGAGUUUGGAUUUCAUUCUAAGAGGAGUCAGUCACAUGAUCUCAUUUUGAUACUUAGAGUAGGAAAAGUAGGAAAAGUUGUCCUUUUCUGGGCAAGAGAGAAUGUUCCUAAUUUUUUUUUGAUGUUCCUAAUUUGGCUUCUUUUCUUCAGGCUUACGUCAUUCUCUGCAUAUUUUGGCGCUUUCUGAAUUGAAUGUCAAGGGUCAGUGUCUGUCACUUGACCUGAGGGCAAUGGCAGCUUUUCUGUAUUUUGCUUUCCGCUUUCCACAGGAGGGAAAAGAUGACAAUAGAAUUGCCUCUUCCUCUUCAGUUUCAGGUCUUACAAUGACAAGUGGGAGGGCAAUACUUUAGAACCCUCUAGGGUCAUGGAUCAUUUGAGCUCCAGGAAUGUUAAGGCCGUACUAAUUGGACAUCAUUUUCGGCACCUCAAAUAUGAUGUCCAGAUUUCCACUGACGUAUGCGGGGACCUGAUGGGGAUACUGCCCAAGGAAACUAGAGCCUGGAGAUGGAAGGACUGAGGUUUUGAAAUGCAACCUACCUUGAAUAUAGAGCCAUCUGGGUGCAAACCACUGUUCUCCUAGCCUUCUGGACAAACAAGCCUGUUUAAAGGUGAGUUGUAGGUUGUGAUAAAUGAUUUGUUUGAACCACAUUUCCCAGAGCAAACAAUUUUCCCAGGCCAUGUGAUGGGAGCCCAUUCUUUCUGAAUCUUUCAGCAUUCAAGUUCCCAUCAUUUCCUUGGAUGUCACAAGCCAGCAUACUCCAUCAAAUAAGAGAAACUUAAAGCUCUCCGUGGUCUUAAUUUCUUUAUUUUUCUAGUGUUCUUUAGCCUUCAAAAGUGAGACCAGGAAAAAAAAUCCUAUCAGUUCCACUGGUUAAUUACUUUCUCCUCCUCCUUCUACUUGUCUGUUUUUCUCACCUUCUCCACCUUUUCAUUCCCUUUCUGAUUGCAGUCUUCUUCCAUGACCUAAGAAAGAGGAGGCUAAAACUUUUGGCUACUUGAGUU